GACGAACGCUGGCGGCGUGCUUAACACAUGCAAGUCGAACGGAAAGGCCCUGCUUUUGUGGGGUGCUCGAGUGGCGAACGGGUGAGUAACACGUGAGUAACCUGCCCUUGACUUUGGGAUAACUUCAGGAAACUGGGGCUAAUACCGGAUAGGAGCUCCUGCUGCAUGGGGGGGGUUGGAAAGUUUCGGCGGUGGGGGAUGGACUCGCGGCUUAUCAGCUUGUUGGUGGGGUAGUGGCUUACCAAGGCUUUGACGGGUAGCCGGCCUGAGAGGGUGACCGGCCACAUUGGGACUAAGAUACGGACCAGACUCCUACGGGAGGCAGCAGUGGGGAAUAUUGCACAAUGGGCGGAAGCCUGAUGCAGCAACGCCGCGUGCGGGAUGCCGGCCUUCGGGUUGUAAACCGAUUUCGCCUGUGACGAAGCGUGAGUGACGGUAAUGGGUAAAGAAGCACCGGCUAACUACGUG
rnacentral:rRNA from 1 species